CCCGUCAUGCGGAGGCGGGCCCUUAGGGUUUAGGGUUGAGGGUUCAGGCCUAAUAUACGGGCCUUAAUUAUUGGAAUUGGGUUGGGGGUAUAUUCUACUAUAUUUGUAGUAAGGAACCCCCACAACCCUAUUCUAAUUAUUAUCAGAGUCACGCUCCUCGGAAUUGGAGCGUAAAUUGGGUGGUAGAUUUCAUCUAAAGCUAAAUACAGGCUCGAGACCGAUAGCAAACAAGUACCAUGAGGGAAAGAUGAAAAGGACUUUGAAAAGAGAGUUAAAAGUGCUUGAAAUCGCUGAACUGGAAGCGAAUGGAACUAGUGCUCUGGUUGAGAUUGCUGUAAAUGGCUGCGACAUCUGGGCUCUGGAACGCAAGUUAAACCACCACCAGCAGACCUUACUUUCCCGAAGGAUCUAUGGACCCACAAAAGGGAUCCUUUGAAGGGUUUUGCUUAAAGGGUGUACUAUAAGGGUCCUAGACAGGCCUUCAUGGAACUUUCUAUAGGGUUGUAUAGGGUCCGUGUACUGAUAUGACUACUAACUACUACUCUCUCUCUCUCGCUCUCUCUCUCUCUCUAUACAUAUAUAUAUAUAUAUAUAGUCUUUUUUAUAUAUACAUACGUAAAUAUCUGUAUAUAUAU
rfam:Symbiodinium microadriaticum strain CCMP2467 Smic.scaffold569, whole genome shotgun sequence.